rnacentral:lncRNA from 1 species
CUCGCCGUCGGCUGCCGGGGGGUUGGCCGGGGUGUCAUUGGCUCUGGGAAGCGGCAGCAGAGGCAGGGACCACUCGGGGUCUGGUGUCGGCACAGCCAUGGCGGGCGCGUUGGUGCGGAAAGCGGCGGACUAUGUCCGAAGCAAGGAUUUCCGGGACUACCUCAUGAGUAGCCAACUGGGGUCUUCCCAUUGCUGCCAUCAAUGAUAUGAAAAAGUCUCCAGAGAUUAUCAGUGGGCGGAUGACAUUUGCCCUCUGUUGCUAUUCUUUGACAUUCAUGAGAUUUGCCUACAAGGUACAGCCUCGGAACUGGCUUCUGUUUGCAUGCCACGCAACAAAUGAAGUAGCCCAGCUCAUCCAGGGAGGGCGGCUUAUCAAACACGAGAUGACUAAAACGGCAUCUGCAUAACAAUGGAAAAGGAAGAACAAGGUCUUGAAGGGACAGCAUUGCCAGCUGCUGCUGAGUCACAGAUUUCAUUAUAAAUAGCCUCCCUAAGGAAAAUACACUGAAUGCUAUUUUUACUAACCAUUCUAUUUUUAUAGAAAUAGCUGAGAGUUUCUAAACCAACUCUCUGCUGCCUUACAAGUAUUAAAUAUUUUACUUCUUU